CACGACGGCCGGGCGCGCCGUCGUGACGUCAUCAGCGCGUACCGCCCCCACUUCCGAGCGCACGGGUGGUAGCUCAUAGAGCCCGGGCGUUCCGGGAACGCGAUCCUACUCGGCGGCCCUCCCUGCUUGGAUCGGCCACUCCUGAGGCUGAGGAAUUUCAUUCCUUUUUCGAAAACGGAUACCCAGGAAGCCUCUCGGUGCUCCCCCGUGGCUGGGCGAGUCUCCUGGGCCCCGAGAGGAGGCGGUGACAGGCCAGGGCCAUCGGCAGCGGUAGCAGGGGACUGCAUAGGGCUGCCUCGGGCCGACUAGCAGGCUCGCCGCGAGCCUUGGCGGCCCCAGUCCCCAGCGCAUGGAAUGUGCCCCGGGCCCCAUGAGCUCCCGGACCCGCGGUUGUGAGACAGGGCUUGGGCUGCUUGGAGCUAGUGAGCCAUCGGCCACGGCAGGCAUUUGAACAGAGCUUGGAGGCAAAGGGGUGAGAUGGUGCAUCCAUUGAGGUCACUUCAGGAGAUGACACUCCUGUGGCUAAGUGUAGCCUCCCAGGUAAGGCCCAGUCAAUGGAGAAUCCUCAGGUGGGCGAUGGGUGGAGGAUACGUGUGGUUUGGCAGAGGGGACAAAUGUGACAACAGUGUAAUAAGGGCCAUGUUGGGGAGGGUCAGUGGUCAGGGCCUGGCCCAACCUGAGCAGAAGGGAGGCUCUCUUAGGGAUAUUUGCCAGGUAGGAAUGGGUGGAGUGGAACUACAGGGCCACCAUGUUUCCCAUAGGUCACACACGUUGUUGGCCUUGUCAUGUUUAUCCACGAAUCCUGGUGUUCUCUGUGGUCCUCCCAUCGUACCUUUCAGGCUGUCCUUUCAGUUCUCCACUGUCCCUGCAUCACCCCUGCCCCUGUCCCUUGUGUGUUUCUGUUCAGUCCACGUUCCCAGGUGUUGAGGUGGCCCCUGAUUCUGUGCCCCUUACCUAAGACCCUGUGCAGGGAAUCUGUGAAAACAGAGGAAAUAAAAAGUGGGGAAAAUACUACUCAUGCAUCAUUGACCAAUAUUGUGUUUGUUGUGAGUGCUGAGAGGGACACAACCCCAAAACCAGCAUUCUCUUUGUUGGCUAAGAGGAGACAGACCCACUGUCAGGAGUCACUGGCUUUUUUGAAUACUAAGCUGACUGCCAUUCAUCACCUACACAGGGACCCGGAAGACGGGUGGGGAGGAGGUGGCAUGCAGCAGUGUGUGAGGGGAAUAUCUAGGAAUCUGGGGAAGGGGAGGAUGGAGCCGGGUAGCUGCCUGGAAGCCUCAGUACCACAGCGGUAAGGACGAGGCUGGGAGGUUGGCCAAGUCCUGCCCUGUGUGUGGUCACCACCUCACCUGAUCCCUUGUCCUUUUCUCUAAGGCCAUUGUCUCUCCUGGGCAGUUGUAAGGUUCAGAUUCCAGGCUGUGACUUUAGCUGGUCAAUGUGGCUCUGGCUGGAACAGGACAUGGUGACCUGGAAUCUCCAUCCACAACCUUGGUAUGCACUCAGCCACCUCCUGGGGCUCUCCCCAGCACUGACCAAGCUUCCUGCUUAGUAGGGAGAGGUGGAGCACAGGCUAGAAGUCAAGCCUCUUCUGCCUGCAGACUAGCUUGGAGACCCGCCCAUGUGUCUCUGCCCCUCUGCCCCCAAGGGCAGGUGUCCCAGUGGCCUUAGUCUGUGCUAAUCCCUGCUGUGGGCCUCCUUUCUGCAGUCUAGUUAAAUGCAACUUGGCUUCCUCCAGGCCCCUGCCUGUCACUCCAGCCUCCAGCUCUUUCCUGCACAGACACCUUUCCCCUUGGGCCUCAGCUCCAAGACUGGUGGUUGCCUUCUUCUUGAAGCGAUGUGUGAGGCAGCCUAGAGUGUGGGUUCUAUCUACCAGGGUAGGUGGUCCCAAGGGACUCAGAUCCAGCUCAGAAAUUUCUGGCUGGGUUACCUGAUGUCUGCCCUGUGAUUCAAGGCAUAAACAAGGUGGCCCUAAGGACGGCAGGGGUCCAAAGAGGAUGGAGACCUAUGCCAUUCUACACCCUGCUCGAAGCUAGUGCAGCCUCAGCCCCUUCCUGUGGAGGGGGACAGGGACAGGACUCGGUGUAGGUGUGUGCAGUGAGUGGCUGGCAUCUCUGAAGAUGAGUAUGUGGGGGUGGGGGUCCCCUUCAGCCAUCUGUGAGGCCUUGCCUGCUCCCAGAACUGCCUGGAACCUGGGGAGACUGUAAACAACGUCCUGCAACCCCAGAAAAAAGCUGCGAUGUGUGAGGGCUUGCUCUGCCUAAGCAUGAUUCUGAGCACCUGCAGGGAGUACAGCAAAUGGAUGCUGAGGCCUGGAGGGCAGACCCCAGAGAGCUGAGUGCCCCUCCAGGUUUCAUGGCUGGCACUAUGGACCAGUGCGGCCCACUGCCUGUCACCCCACAGGAAAGCUUCUGAGGUGCAGAACCAGUGGCCUGAGUUCCAGGGACAGGAAGUGUCUUGGUGUGGGGUUCUUGUGGUGGCACUUGCAUGCCCUAGUGCACAGUGGGAGGAGGGAGGCUCUGUUGCCUGGGCCCUUUCUCCUCUGUGCCAACAGAUUGGGAAGUGAGCAUGGAGAGUGCCUGGCCAUCCCAUCACAGCACAGGUUGAGUGCUGAGAUACCCACAGCCCUUCCCAGCCUGGUGGCUCUCCCCAAGGCUUGAAAACCCUGUGCUCCCUUUGUACCCCCAAGCCCAUGCUUGGCUCCCAGAUCCACCUCGAGCCCUUUGGACCCCAGACGUCUCCCCAGAUGCACACUCCUGGGAUUCUGGUACUGUGUGAGGUUGCUAGAACAGGGCAGUCUCCCCAGGGAUGGGAUCUGCUUAUAUGGAGUUUCCAGCUGGCAAAAGCUUAUUUUCCAGUCUGAGCCAAAUGCCUGACUUUUCCCCCACAGAGGCACUUGGACAGGAAGCUGGCUUCUCUGCACAGCCAGGGGCACCGAGUGAGCCCCAUCCUUCCCAAGUGUCCUCCACGUGGCUCACUGGCUGUGGAAAGAAGGGCUUGGCCCCAUGGGGACAUGCCAGUGCAGAGCUCUGGCCUCCAGCCAGAGGGACACUUUUCCUUGAGGCUCAUGGCUGUAGCACAAGGUGCCCAAACGACUCUGGCCAGGUAGCCCCGCCUCCUACUGCCCCAGGGCAGCUGUCUCCCAGCCUGGGUGAAGGAACAAGGAAGGGCCCCUGCUCAGAGCCUUCGGGCAGCAAAGGCCAGACACCCCUGCCUGGGGUCCAGAGGCCCCAGCAUACACCCAUCCCCUCUUCCUAUGAGCAGCUCAUUUCACUCACUGAGGAGCUGGGCAUGCCCCAGAGGGGCCCUGAGCAACCCAACCCUUUCCUAAGCUUCCCCCUGGGUGAGGGGCAGGCAGUUGUCCUGGGGCUUCAUCUCCCGGGCCCAGCCCCCUGCUCCGAACACUGCUCUCUGCCAGGCCACCCCAAGGCCUUGUGAACAUACCCUUUUACCCACACCAUGGGAUCUUGCCCACAGGUCACAGGGAAGGCCAGGGUGCAGCCCAGAUCCUUCUUGGCCUGGUGGUCGGCUUCUUAGGGAGUCAACACUGUGGUCACAGUGCCCUGCCCUGGGUGGACACUAUUCUCUCCCUGUCCCUCUUCUGCAGUGUCCUCAGAUGAGGGUGGCCUGGUCCCUGCAGAGGCACAGCCUCCAAAGUCCAUGCAUAGAUGGGCCCAUAUAGGGAUGAACACAGGACAGGAGGCUGCAACAGGAUCCGGUUUAUUCUGCCUUGGCAGGGUGGUCCUGAGAGUGGCGGGUGCCACCCUGUCCUGGGUGGAGGGAGGGCCCGAGGGCCAGUUAAGGCCAAUGGCGGGAGAAGCGGGGGGCUGCAGCCCCUGGAAUGCGGUGAAGCCAGGCCGAGGCCCGGAGGCAGCUGUGGUAGGCCGGGGCAGGGUGGAAGGCACCGGACUGGGACCGGGCCAGGGCUACAGGGCCGAGGACCCAGGCCACACGGGCACCCCGGGAGGCGGGGCACAGGGUUACAUGACACAGAACAUGAAACACA